GCCCCUUGCCACCCGCCGGGUGAGCGGUCCCGGACAAGCUGGCGGGAGUUUCACAGAUGGUGUUGGUGUAUAAAAGGACUGUGACCACAGAUUACCCAGGAUCCGCAGAAUGCAUACGGCCAUGACACGUGAUUUUGGGGAAUCGCCAUAACCCAUGCCCAGCCUCACAUCCAUAAUCCAGGACCUCCUAAUCGGCUUUUACCAAAAUAAAAUAAAGAAAUGUGGGUAAAAUAA